rnacentral:rRNA from 1 species
GACAGAGGGUGCAAACGUUGUUCGGAAUUACUGGGCGUAAAGCGCGUGUAGGCUGCUUCAUAAGUCGGAUGUGAAAGCCCUGGGCUCAACCUAGGAAGUGCAUUCGAAACUGCGAAGCUUGAGUCCUGGAGAGGAAGGCGGAAUUCUCGGUGUAGAGGUGAAAUUCGUAGAUAUCGAGAGGAACACCGGUGGCGAAGGCGGCCUUCUGGACAGUGACUGACGCUGAGACGCGAAAGCGUGGGGAGCGAACAGG